rnacentral:rRNA from 1 species
GAUGAACGCUAGCGGCAGGCUUAAUACAUGCAAGUCGAGGGGGAUCAGUUGGGUAGCAAUACCUGGCUGUGAGACCGGCAAACGGGUGAGGAACACGUACGCAACUUUCCCAAAACUGGUGAAUAGCCCUCCGAAAGGAGGAUUAAUACACCGUAACAUAACGAAAUGGCAUCAUUUUGUUAUUAUAGCUCCGGCGGUUUUGGAUGGGCGUGCGCCUGAUUAGGUAGUUGGCGGGGUAACGGCCCACCAAGCCUACGAUCAGUAACUGGUGUGAGAGCACGACCAGUCACACGGGCACUGAGACACGGGCCCGACUCCUACGGGAGGCAGCAGUAAGGAAUAUUGGUCAAUGGACGAAAGUCUGAACCAGCCAUGCCGCGUGAAGGAUGAAGGCCCUCUGGGUUGUAAACUUCUUUUAUAGGGGACGAAAAAAGGGAAUUCUUUCCCACUUGACGGUACCCUAGGAAUAAGCACCGGCUAACUCCGUG